rnacentral:rRNA from 1 species
AUACGGAGGGAGCGAGCGUUAAUCGGAAUUACUGGGCGUAAAGCGCGCGUAGGCGGCUGAUUAAGUCAGAUGUGAAAUCCCAGGGCUCAACCUUGGAACUGCAUCUGAUACUGGUCAGCUAGAGUUUGGGAGAGGGAAGUAGAAUUUCAGGUGUAGCGGUGAAAUGCAUAGAUAUCUGAAGGAAUACCAGUGGCGAAGGCGGCUUCCUGGCCUAAAACUGACGCUGAGGUGCGAAAGCGUGGGUAGCAAACGGGAUUAGAUACCCCAGUAGUCC